GUCCACAGGGACCGUCCCGGGUGGGAUCACAAAUAUGCCCGGGGGCCCGGGGAGCAGAGGAGCUAUUACGGAGGCCCUGCUGCACGGGGACGCCAACCUUGGGCUUCCAGCCUCCAGAGUGUGAGAAGGAAAUACCUGUUGCUUACAAGGCCCCGGCCUGCAGCCCAGAAGGACGGACUACUCUGCUCUCCCACAGGUGUGGAGUCCUCCACAGGUGGCUCUGGGGUGUGAGCCCCCACAUGGAACCUCACAGAGCUGAGCACAGCACAUCCUGUGGCUUGAGCGGCAAGUCCCGCCGACACCCGGCUACGUCCAGGUGUGAAGCCACGGCCCUGAGGUCGAUGGAUGCUGGGCUGGUGGGGGCGGGGACCCUAGUAAAGAGGGCUCUGUUCUUGCAACUAUAUGACACUAUUCCCUACUGAAGACUCUGGGACCACAGGUGAGCCAUAGAUGAAGCACAGGUGAGCCACAGGUGGGCCACAGGUGAGCCACAGGUGAAGCACAGAUGAAGCACAGGUGAGCCACUGUGGGUGAAGCACAGGUGAGCCACAGGUGAAGCACAGGUGAGCCACAGGUGAAGCACAGGUGAAGCACAGGUGAGCCACAGAUAAACCACAGGUGAAAUCACAAAUGAACCAUGGGUGAGCCACAGGUGAAGCACAACCAAGCCACUGAUAAGACACUGUGGGUGAACCAUAGGUGAGCCACAGGUGAAGCACAGGUGAAUCACAGAUGAGCCACAGGUGAGCCACAGGUGAAGCACAGGUGAGCCACAGAUGACCCACCAGUGACGCACAAGUGAGCCACAGGUGAACCACUGUGGGUGAACCACAGGUGAGCUACAGGUGAGCCACAGGUGAGCCACUGUGGGUGAACCACAGAUGAACCACAGAUGAACCAUAGAUGAAACAUAGGCGAGCCACAGGUGAGCCACAGAUGAACCACAGGUGAACCACAGGUGAUCCACAGGUGAACCACAGAUGAGCCACAGGUGAGCCACUGCCGGGGGCAGGCAGGCGCCAUGUAAUCACAUUCUUUCUUUCUGGUCAGCACUCCUGGGUGACCUAUGGCAGUGACCGGGCUGCUGAGUUGACAAAGUGCUUGGUCAGCGAGGUAUCAGCUUGCAUUUCUCAAAGUGAGGCCCCCUCACCACCUGCCCCUGGCCCUAGGGUCCCAGUGCCACCUGCUGAGUGUCUCUUGGGCCCACCUCACACCGUGCAGACCAGAGCUGACACCUGCCUGGAGAGGCCAGGGUCGUCUCCAAGCAAUACCUUGUGUCCAGGUGCCGAGCCUCUUGGAGCCUCCAUCCUGGCGCCAGAACACACAGACUCUUCUGAGCGGCUGCCUCCUGAGGGGCCCAGAGCGGCUGGAGCAACCGUGGGGACCAGAUGGCCCCGAACAGGUUGCAGGUCUGCAAACAUUCC
rnacentral:lncRNA from 1 species